GAUGAACGCUGGCGGCGUGCCUAAUACAUGCAAGUCGAGCGAACAGACGAGGAGCUUGCUCCUCUGACGUUAGCGGCGGACGGGUGAGUAACACGUGGAUAACCUACCUAUAAGACUGGGAUAACUUCGGGAAACCGGAGCUAAUACCGGAUAAUAUAUUGAACCGCAUGGUUCAAUAGUGAAAGACGGUUUUGCUGUCACUUAUAGAUGGAUCCGCGCCGCAUUAGCUAGUUGGUAAGGUAACGGCUUACCAAGGCAACGAUGCGUAGCCGACCUGAGAGGGUGAUCGGCCACACUGGAACUGAGACAAGGUCCAGACUCCUACGGGAGGCAGCAGUAGGGAAUCUUACGAAAUGGGCGAAAGCCUGAAGGAGCAACGCCGCGUGAGUGAUGAAGGUCUUCGGAUCGUAAAACUCUGUUAUUAGGGAAGAACAAAUGUGUAAGUAACUAUGCACGUCUUGACGGUACCUAAUCAGAAAGCCACGGCUAACUACGUG
rnacentral:rRNA from 1 species